rfam:Picea glauca, whole genome shotgun sequence.
GUGCAAAUGAUGUAAUUUAACUACUGAAUUUUGUUGAUGUAUUAAAAUUCGAGCUUUUUAAAACUGAUGCACA